UUUAUUUAGUAUAAACAGUACAUUUGAUUUCCAAUCAAAAAGUCUAUUUAMUAUUUUAGAAUAAAUAA
rnacentral:tRNA from 1 species